rnacentral:lncRNA from 1 species
AACUAUCUGUUGUUCCUUCAUUUCAUGCUGCCUCUUCGGAAGAAAGAGCUUACCCGUUGACUCUGUUUCUUCCAUGCCUGUCCCUGGCCUUCCUCAUCCUCACCUUGCCCUGAGCUUAGGAUGACUCCAGGACACUGGGAGCUCACAGAGCAAGAUGGAACGGAGGUUACUAUUGGGUCUAUCCACAGCAACAUUUUCCCAAUGACUGUCUACAGGAGGGAGAAAACAUGAGGCUGAGACCAAGCCAGACAGAUGUGGAUUUUUGGAUUUAUCACUGCAGUCAGCACACCCUGCACCUCCUCCCAAUGGCACAGGCGGGAUCAGGAGGAACAGUUUUUAAAUUGCUUUGACCCUACAGCAAGGAGAAAAUGAUAAUGAACACUAAUGAAACUAUAUGAAAACCAUUCGGUGGUUGUUAAGUCAAGUAAAAGAGGCUUCACAAAACUUAUACUAAAAGCAGAGUAAAGAACUGUAAAGAAAAAACACCAAGACUGAGCGAGGAACAAAGCUGCAGAGAGCUAGACAGUCUACUCGAAGAACCGUGCAGGGAACCAUUUUGAAGCCACACCGCUGAUUGUGAAUAUUAAAGAAACUUCUACAUGACUGUAUGUGCUGCUGCAAAGAGAAAGAAAAUACAAGAAUAUGGCACAGUUGCUUAUACACGGUGCAUUACAUGGCUAAUAAUCACAAAAUAGAAUGCGCGUUUGCGGCUACUCCUGAGUAAGGUGUUCGGGAAUAAGGGCAUGUAUAAGUAAAACAGAUGUUUAAAUGGAACUUCCACAUAUAGGUUUUAAAAGGAGAUGCUAUUUCCCUGUCAAAUUGUAUUUCUCUUCAGUAUGUUUAUAUUGAAAAGUCUGAAAUUAAUGGCUCCUAAGGAAUAAAGUGAUGAUUUUAUGUGCUUUGUGAUAAAGUUUAUAAUAUAGAAAAAAUUAAAAA